AUACCAGCACCCCGAGUGGUCGGGACGAUUAUUGGGCCUAAAGCAUCCGUAGCCGGUUCUACAAGUCUUCCGUUAAAUCCACCUGCUUAACAGAUGGGCUGCGGAGGAUACUAUGGAGCUAGGAGGCGGGAGAGGCAAGCGGUACUUAGUGGGUAGGGGUAAAAUCCGUUGAUCCAUUGAAGACCACCAGUGGCGAAGGCGGCUUGCCAGAACGCACUCGACGGUGAGGGAUGAAAGCUGGGGGAGCAAACCGGAUUAGAUACCCGGGUAGUCCCAGCUGUAAACGAUGCAGACUCGGUGAUGAAUAGGCUUCGUGCCUAUUCAGUGCCGCAGGGAAGCCGUUAAGUCUGCCGCCUGGGGAGUACGGUCGCAAGACUGAA
rnacentral:rRNA from 2 species